GGUGGUAUAGUGUAGUGGUUAGCAUAGAACGUUGUGGCCGUUCUGACCUCGGUUCGAUUCCGAGUGCCGCCA
rnacentral:tRNA from 1 species